ensembl:lncRNA
AGGAGUAGGCUCUGUGCUUUUUAUUCAAAUGCCCAUGACCCCUUCCAGAAAACCAAGAAGCGUCUUACUUUACAGGCCCAGCCAGCAGGUCACCCCAGCGUCAGAGAGUGGUUCUUCUCUUUGGUAAGGGAGAUCCACCCUGCCAGCUGCUUCAGGUCAGUGCCGGGAUCUCUUGCAGGUGACUUUCCUUUAGACUGGGAAAACCAUCUGAACAACUUUGGCUUCAUUUCUCCAACAAUGUAAAGGAAUGUUCAUAUUUCCCAGUUCGGGUCUCUGGCUAGGGGCAGCAAUCUCCUUCCUCCAUGGGGUGGGUCCCCUCCCUCUGCUAGAGAAAUUCCCUGGGGAAGAAAGAGAAGGCGCUCCCCAAAUCUUCAAACAGAACACAGCCAAUGGGUUGGGCCCUUAGGCAUGAAUGAGAGCCCGUACAGCACAGGGAUGCAUGGAACCUCAAGGUAGGAAUACUGCUCCAGGCCCAGGAGCAGUUAAUACAGUAAACUAAAUUAUUCCUGUAACAGCGGGACUUCUCAGAGUCUUUGAUAAGCUAAUGAGCAUCUCCAGGAAAGGGAGACAGCACCGCUGACAAACCUAUUUGGCCUUGAAACCCUCUUUUAGGAGAGGCGGCUCCUGAGCCAGGGGUCCUGACUCACCCACCCUUUUAAUGAAAACAGCGCUGGACUGCAAGUCUGGGUUCUAAUCUUACUCUGGCUGUUCCCAAGAGCAGGCUCUGGGUCCCCAUCUGUAAGAAGGGGUGGGGUUCACCUUAACAUUCCGCCAUGGUCGUGGGACUCCUAAUGCAAACAGAUAGGGGGGAUGAGGAUGAGGGGGGCGGCAGAAGCCUGUGAGGAAGGCUGGGAAGAAACUUGUGUCACAGAGAGGCCAGGACAGUUAGCGUGUGUUCGGGACUGGCCUGCAAAAACCUGAAGGACAAAGGCGGAGUAGGCAGAGGCACGAGGAGACUCCACAAGUGUAUGUGUACAGCCCACCGGCUCCUCCUAUCCGUCCCCACCUCGGCGGAUGGGCCCCACCCCAGGACAACCAAGCACCGAGAGACAGACUGAGAAGGGCCUCGCAGGAUGCCCGCACAACCCCCAGCUAAAACCAAACUCUUCGCUCAUCCUGCGACCAGCCAAGGCCUGUCCUCAGCUCCGCCCGCGGCCCAGCGCCUGCGUUUCACAGCACCGGAGGCUGGGAGAGCGGCCGGGGAAGGGGGUGCUCUUCCGACCGCGGGGAGGGAGGGAAGGGGGCAGGCGGAAGCCUGGUUCCAAUUUGGGAGCCUCCUCCGGAUCUACGCGGCGCCCGUCCACGUCUUAGUCUCAGCAGGGAAGGGAAGAGGAACCGCGAGGUUUCGCCUCGGAGCGGCUGGUCUGCGAGUGUGCAUCCGCCCGUCGGAUCGCAGCCUGCGCUGGUCCCGGGAGACUGCGCGUCCGGCGCGGCUGUCGGGAUUCUGGGCAGUGGCUGGGAUUCUGGGCGGCGGCAGCGCUGCCGUCGGGCGGGAGCUGCGCGUCAGUGUCCCUGGACGCGGGCGACAGUGGAAACAGGGAGAGGGUGCCAGGGCGCACCCGCGCGGGGCGGCGGCGAGGGGGAGGGACUGGGGCGCUGGUCUCCGGGGGUCCCCCGCCCCGAUCAGGGCCGCGGCGGGCGCGGGCGGCCUCACGCCACCUCCUGCUUGCCCUGGCAGCGACGCCCGCAGCCGUAGAGCGCCGACAGCAGGUAGAGGCCGUGGCAGACGCCGCCGCAGACGGCGGCCGCCAGGAAGGCGUGGUAGGCGCAGGGCAGCGGGUAAUCCUUGAGGUUGCAGUAGCUGUGGCGCUGCAUCUGGUCACUCAUAAUGCCGGUCGCGGCGCCGUAGAGCGCGGCCGCCAGCACAUCGUGCGCCACGUUGACCACGAGCCAGCGCGAGCCCAGCACGGGGACCAGCUCGUGCUUGCCCAGCAGCGUGAGGAAGUAGAGGCCCAGAGUAAGCAGCCAGAAGAGCACCGACACGAAGAGCGCGAAGUGCACGGGGCCCUGGUACUUGCUGGUGGCGAUAGUGAUCCAGAAGGCGGCGCCGGCCAGCAGCUGCAGCAGCCGCAACACGCCCAGCGGGCUGCGCAGGAAGGGCCGCUGCAGGCACUGCGCCGCGGGCCGCACGCGCCUGGGGCGGC